UACGGAGGGGGGCUAGCGUUGUUCGGAAUUACUGGGCGUAAAAGCGCUCGUAGGCGGAUUGGUCAGUCAGAGGUGAAAAGCCCAGGGGCUCCAACCCUGGAACUGCCUUUGAUACUGCCAGUCUAGAGUUCGGGGAGAGGUGAGCGGAAUUCCGAGUGUAGAGGUGAAAUUCGUAGAUAUUCGGAGGAACACCAGAGGCGAAGGCGGCUCACUGGACCGAUACUGACGCUGAGGAGCGAAAAGCGUGGGGAGCAAACAGGAUUAGAUACCCCGGGUAGUCC
rnacentral:rRNA from 1 species